CAGAAACAAAAAAGGGCUGUUGUUUUUCGAAAAGUACAUAUAAUGCCAUUUUGUUUUGUUUCAUUUUCGUUUCGUUUUCGAAUAAUGUUAUUUUGUUUUGUUUCAGUUGCUAACAUGAAUUGGACCGGUGAGCAUCGUGCUUUCAUUGUGGAAACCUUUAUUGUAACUAAUCU